rnacentral:rRNA from 1 species
UACGUAGGGUGCAAGCGUUGUCCGGAAUUAUUGGGCGUAAAGAGCGUGUAGGCGGCCAGAUAAGUCCGCUGUGAAAUCUCGAGGCUCAACUUCGAGCUGUCGGUGGAAACUAUCUGGCUAGAGUCCGGAAGAGGAGAAUGGAAUUCCUGGUGUAGCGGUGAAAUGCGUAGAUAAUCGAGAGGAACACCUGCGGCGAAGGCGGGUUGCUGGGACUGGACACUGACGCUGAAGCGCGAAAGCUAGGGGAGCGAACGGG